UGAAUACGAGACGCUAAGGCGUCGAAGUAGUGUAUGUCAUACUUCCAAGAAAAGCUUGCACUGUCAUAAGUAAAAAAUGCCUGUACCAUAACCGACACAGGUGGGUAGGUAGAGUAUACUAAGGGGCGCGAGUUAACUCUCUCUAAGGAACUCGGCAAAAUAACUCCGUAACUUCGGGAGAAGGAGUACCUUAUUCUAUAAGGUUGCAAUAACAAGAUCCAAGCAACUGUUUAUCAAAAACACAGGUCUCCGCUAAGUCGUAAGACGAUGUAUGGGGGCUGACGCCUGCCCAGUGCCAGAAGGUUAAAGAAGUCGGUUAGCAUUAGCGAAGCUGGUUACUGAAGCCCUGGUGAACGGCGGCCGUAACUAUAACGGUCCUAAGGUAGCGAAAUUCCUUGUCGGGUAAGUUCCGACCCGCACGAAAGGCGUAAUGAUUUGGAUACUGUCUCGGAGAGGGGCUCGGUGAAAUAGACUUGUCUGUGAAGAUGCGGACUACCUGCACCAGGACAGAAAGACCCUAUGAAGCUUUACUGUAACUUGAAAUUGAAAUUGGACUUUAUUCGCGCAGUAUAGGUGGGAGGUGUUGAUUAUAAUCUUGCGGGAUUAUUGGAGCCAUCAGUGAGAUACCACUCUUGUAAUGUUAGAUUUCUAACUUUGAAUCAUUAUCUGGUCAAAGGACAGUUUCAGGCGGGCAGUUUGACUGGGGCGGUCGCCUCCCAAACGGUAACGGAGGCGUACAAAGGUUUCCUCUGAACGGGUAGAAAUCGUAUCUAGAGUGUAAAGGCAUAAGGAAGCUUGACUGUGAGACCUACAAGUCGAACAGGGACGAAAGUCGGUCUUAGUGAUCUGACGGUACUGAGUGGAAAGGCCGUCACUCAACGGAUAAAAGUUACUCUAAGGAUAACAGGCUGAUCUCCCCCAAGAGUUCACAUCGACGGGGAGGUUUGGCACCUCGAUGUCGGCUCAUCGCAUCCUGGGGCGGUAGUACGUCCCAAGGGUUGGGCUGUUCGCCCAUGAAAGCGGUACGCGAGCUGGGUUCAGAACGUCGUGAGACAGUUCGGUCCAUAUCCGGUGUAGGCGUUAGAAUAUUGAGAGGAGCCUUCUUUAGUACGAGAGGACCGAGAAGGACAUACCUCUGGUGUACCAGUUAUCGUGCCAACGGUAAACGCUGGGUAGCUAUGUAUGGAGUGGAUAACCGCUGAAAGCAUCUAAGUGGGAAGCCCACCUCAAGAUAAGUAUUCUCAUC
rnacentral:rRNA from 1 species